CUGGUUGAUCCUGCCAGACCCGACUGCUAUCAGGGUGGGACUAAGCCACGCGAGUCAACGCCGCAAGGCGUGGCAUACGGCUCAGUAAUACGUAGUCAACAUGCCCAAGGGACGUGGAUAACCUCGGGAAACUGAGGAUAAACCGCGAUAGGCCAAGAUUUCUGGAAUGGAUCAUGGCUGAAAUCUAUAUGGCCCUUGGAUUGGACUGCGGCCGAUCAGGCUGUUGGUGAGGUAAUGGCCCACCAAACCUAUAACCGGUACGGGCUUUGAGAGAAGGAGCCCGGAGAUGGGCACUGAGACAAGGGCCCAGGCCCUAUGGGGCGCAGCAGGCGCGAAAACUCUGCAAUAGGCGAAAGCUUGACAGGGUUACUCUGAGUGAUGCCCGCUAAGGGCAUCUUUUGGUACCUCUAAAAAUGGUGCAGAAUAAGGGGUGGGCAAGUCUGGUGUCAGCCGCCGCGGUAAUACCAGCACCCCGAGUGGUCGGGACGAUUAUUGGGCCUAAAGCAUCCGUAGCUUGUCCUGCAAGUCUUCCGUUAAAUCCACCUGCUCAACAGAUGGGCUGCGGGAGAUACUACAGGGCUAGGAGGCGGGAGAGGCAAGCGGUACUCAGUGGGUAGGGGUAAAAUCCUCUGAUCCACUGAAGACCACCAGUGGCGAAGGCGGCUUGCCAGAACGCGCUCGACGGUGAGGGAUGAAAGCUGGGGGAGCAAACCGGAUUAGAUACCCGGGUAGUCCCAGCUGUAAACGAUGCAGACUCGGUGAUGGGUUGGCUUCGGGCCAACCCAGUGCCGCAGGGAAGCCGUUAAGUCUGCCGCCUGGGGAGUACGGU
rnacentral:rRNA from 1 species